rnacentral:lncRNA from 1 species
UGGCUUGGGGCUUAAUUUGGGUGUUAUUAGGAGACCUAAACCUAAUCUAAGUGAUGUUUAAGCCCUUUAAAAGGGCAUGAUCGCAUGAAACAGGUGUGGUGUGGUCUUUUGGCUUGGUUUCUCAUGGGAACAGGAACCCAUGGCUUGGUUUUUUCUCAUACGAUGUGAAGAUCAGAACCCAUGGAGAGAGAGAGCAUGCAGUGCUGAGAAGAGAAGGAGCAGGAGGCUCUUAGACAGCAAACAGCAGUCGCUUCAGGGGUUCAGGGGGUCUUCCUUGAGAGAGAGCUUUUGUGAAGGAGAGCUUUCUAUGAAAAAAAAUUGGGUGUAUGAGGGUUGAGGCUGAGAUCUUCUCUUGUAAAAAUUUUUUUCAUAGUGAAGUUUGCAUGCCCCGUGGAGGUGAAUUUUUUUGUGGCUGAUCCACGUAUUGAUUAUUUUUAUUUUGUUUCUUCUUUCUUCCUGCUACAUCACGUGGUACUGAAAAGAUCCUAAGAGGUGGUGUCCUGACCAGACAUCCAUCCAACAUUAUCGAUAUCAUCGA